rnacentral:rRNA from 1 species
GGCUUUUACAAAUUACAAGGGAACGACGGGUCGGCUUCCAUGGAAUUUGUUUGUAAUGUUUUGAAGGUUGGUUCCGGGUUGUCAUUCCUGAAGUUUAAUCCAGCAUACGAUUUUUGAGGUUUGAAAUAUUUUUGAAGGUUUGUUGAGGUUUGGCUUGGGAUUGACUUGUGCGAGACUACAAACGGUGUUGAUGCUGCGAUGGCUAGUCAAUAUUUACUACAUCUUACACUGUUAGCGGUGGAUGUCUUGGCUCACACAACGAUGAAGGACGCAGCGAAUUGCGAUAAGCAUUGUGACUUGCAGACUUCUGCGAAUCAACAGAUUUCUGAACGUAUUAGACACACCACCUCUGCUUGCACGUGGUACUCCCAUUUCAGUGAACCUUAUUUUCUAACAAACAACCACUCUGCAAUUUUGAUUGCACAUCGUAUAUAAUACGUGGCUGUUUUGUUGUGAGUAGUGGCCUUUGCGGUCAUUAUUUUUAGCAAAACUUGUGUCUGUGUGCACGGCCACUGUUUCAGUGGUGUGGAACUUUUGAUGUAACUUGUUACUCGUGUUUUGCUUGGUGUACAUGUUCACAUAGUUUAGCAACCUAUUCUUUUAUAUGUUUUGGUAGAAUCCAAUGCUUUAAUAGGUUUGGGGAACCUAUCCAUUCUUUAUGAUUGAGAAGCAUCCCAUUCUAUUUAUGACAAGUGUGUGAUAUUCGCCAGAAAUAUAACAAGAUUGGGUUUAUUAUUUAGUUCCUGAGAUUGGGUGAGACUAUCCACUGAAUUUAAACAUAUAACUAAGU